rnacentral:rRNA from 1 species
GAUCCCCAGCUUGCUGGGGGGAUUAGUGGCGAACGGGUGAGUAACACGUGAGUAACCUGCCCUUGACUCUGGGAUAAGCCUGGGAAACUGGGUCUAAUACUGGAUACGACCUUCUGGCGCAUGCCAUGUUGGUGGAAAGCUUUUGUGGUUUUGGAUGGACUCGCGGCCUAUCAGCUUGUUGGUGGGGUAAUGGCCUACCAAGGCGACGACGGGUAGCCGGCCUGAGAGGGUGGACGGCCACACUGGGACUGAGACACGGCCCAGACUCCUACGGGAGGCAGCAGUGGGGAAUAUUGCACAAUGGGCGCAAGCCUGAUGCAGCGACGCCGCGUGAGGGAUGAAGGCCUUCGGGUUGUAAACCUCUUUCAGUAGGGAAGAAGCGAAAGUGACGGUACCUGCAGAAGAAGCGCCGGCUAACUACGUGCCAGCAGCCGCGGUAAUACGUAGGGCGCAAGCGUUAUCCGGAAUUAUUGGGCGUAAAGAGCUCGUAGGCGGUUUGUCGCGUCUGCCGUGAAAGUCCGGGGCUUAACUCCGGAUCUGCGGUGGGUACGGGCAGACUUGAGUGAUGUAGGGGAGACUGGAAUUCCUGGUGUAGCGGUGAAAUGCGCAGAUAUCAGGAGGAACACCGAUGGCGAAGGCAGGUCUCUGGGCAUUAACUGACGCUGAGGAGCGAAAGCAUGGGGAGCGAACAGGAUUAGAUACCCUGGUAGUCCAUGCCGU